CAGACGGCGGAGAGCAGAGAGGGAGCGCGCCUUGGCUCGCUGGCCUUGGCUGCGGCUCCUCGGGAGAGCUGGGGCGCCCACGAGAGGAUCCCUCACCUGGGUCUCUCCUCAGGGAUGACAUCAUCCGUCCACCUCCUUGUCUUCAAGGACCACCUCCUCUCCAUGCCGAGCUGCUGCCAAGGGGCCUGCUGCCCAUCUACACCUCACGAGGGCACUAGGAGCACGGAUUCCUGGAUCCCACCAACAUACAAAGCAGCCACUCACAGACCCCCAGGACCAGGAUGGCAAAGGAUGAAGAGGACCGGAACUGACCUGCCAGCUGUCCCUCUUACCUAAAGACUUAAACCAAUGCCCUAGUGAGGGGGCAUUGGACAUUAAGCCCUGACUUUUGCUAUGCUCAUGCUUUGACUCUAUGAGUACUUUCCUAUAAGUCUUCGCUUGUGUUCACCUGCUAGCAAACUGGAGUGUUUCCCUCCCCAAGGGGGUGUCAGUCUUUGUCGACUGACUCUGUCAUCACCCUUAUGAUGUCCUGAAUGGAAGGAUCCCUUUGGGAAAUUCUCAGGAGGGGGACCUGGGCCAAGGGCUUGACCAGCAUCCUGCUGGCAACUCCAAGGCCCUGGGUGGGCUUCUGGAAUGAGCAUGCUACUGAAUCACCAAAGGCAUGCCCCACCUCUCUGGAGAUCUUCCUAUCCUUUUCUGGGGAAUGGGGUCAAUGGGAGCAACCUCCUAGGGUUGUUGUGAGAAUUAAAUGAGAUAAAAGAGGCCUCAGGCAGGAUCUGGCAUAGAGGAGGUGAUCAGCAAAUGUUUGUUGAAAAGGUUUGACAGGUCAGUCCCUUCCCACCCCUCUUGCUUGUCUUACUCGUCUUAUUUAUUCUCCAACAGCACUCCAGGCAGCCCUUGUCCACGGGCUCUCCUUGCAUCAGGUAGGGGCUUUGCAGAGACCAUCGACGGGCUGACUUGAGUAAGAACACGAAUUAUGCAUGUGGUCAUUUCCAGAGCACUUUCUAUGUGAUACGAACAUGGGAUUUUUAUGUAAUAUGUGUAUGUAAACAAGGCAGCCUCAUUUCCAGGUGAGGAUGCAUUUGGUAGUAUUGAUUUUUGUAAUUUAAAAAAGCUGAAAGGGAGAGAGGACACGUGAGGACUGAACUCUCUGUCCCAUGGGGUAGGACUUAGAUUUACAUUAAAGAGACAGAAACUUGCUGGGAGGUGUAAGUAUUUGGUCACAUUGCUGGCAAGAGAAGGGGUUGGAGUUGGACCCAGGGUGCCACGCUAGCUACCCUCACCCCUUCUUCCCCUCUGGCUCAGAGUUAUACUAAAGAGUCCUUUUAUUUCAAACCAAAUGUUUGACAAUGGGACAGUCUGUUUGAAAUCCCAGCUGCCUGGGGUGGUCUUGGGGGUCUGGGUGGCCCCAGUGCUGGUACCAUGUGCUGGCUUCACCUUUUAAUAACGGUGUGACCUUAAACAAGUCGCUUAACUUCUGUAAGUUUCAGUUUCUUUCAUGGUCUAAAUGGAGAUUAAAACACUCACACACACACACACACACACACACACACACACUCUCUCUCACACACAUACCCUCGUGUAUCUACCCCACAGGGCGCUUUUGAAGACCAAAUGCUGUAACUACUAUGAAAGUGCUUUGUAAAUUGCUGUGGAAAGUGCGAGCUACUUAACCACCCGAGGCUGUCCCUCCUUGCUCACAUGUCCAGCCCAAUUCUCCCUUAGUGAGAACAGCACUCAGUAGGUGCUGUGUGUGUUUGUGUUCAAUUAAGAAAUUCCAGAAUAAAUAAAAAUGAAUUAAUUCAACAAACAUUUUCUGGAGCACCGACAAUCUGCCCAGUGCACCAGGCUAGGUAUCUGAUACAAAGAUAAUGAAAACAGUCUCUUGGAACCUAAUUGGGGUCCUCAUUUGACCAGGACUUUCUUUCGUCCCCUUUUAAGCUAACCAGUUUUGUCCGGACAAGACAAAAACAACUUGGGCUGCUUUAGAGAAGCCCAGCUCAGUGUAGACAAUAGCUGCCCAGCCUCUGAAAGGGGCUGAUUGGAUUAUGUGGCAAAUGGAGGUGCAAGGAUGACUUGGACGGUGACAAAUGAAGUGGGCGGAGACCUGCUUUGAGUUAAUCCAGGCUAUUAGGAGGGGACCUUUUGUCUUCCAGAGACUGGCAGGAGCUUUUACCAGUGGUUUUUACAUCCUUAAUGUUCAGGACGAAUAAUUUAUGGUCAGUGAAAAUCCAGGCCCCAGUGAGAUUCGAGUGGGCUGUAAAAUCGAGAGUCCUGCUCCCAGUGAGUAAUAGUAGUGAAUGUUUCUGUCACUUUUUGCAACUGUCCAUUCAUUUGAUCCUCACAACUCCCUGUCCUGAGCCAGGGCCGGCCCCUGUCACUCCUAGGGAAACAGAGGCUGUCAAGAGGCUCUACAGGUUAGGCCCCACUGGAUCAUUGAAUCCCUGUUCCCUGAGUUCUAGAGGAAGAAUUGUACCUGUCUCAGUCCCGGCCAUCUCCAGAAAGCCUCCUUCUGCAUUUCUGACUUUGCUCUGCCCGCAGCCUGGAGCCUCCCAGGUCCUUGCUGUCAGCUUUUCUAGCCACUACAGUCUCUGUCUUUCCUUUCACAGCCAAGCUUCUUGAAAGGCCUGUCUACACUUGCUGUCUUCCUUCCUCACCUCCAAUUUCCUCUUCAACCCACUGCUUCCUGACUCGCUCUACUCCGUGGAAGGGCACUCACAAAGGUUCCCAGUGCCCCCGACAAGCCCCUGCUGGUGUCUCCAUCUCCUGCCAAGCAUCCUGCAAUGCCGCCUCCUGUGGGCCUGGCCUCAGGGCUAUGGACAGACUCCUGUCCCAUCCCAGAGACCCCUCGUGAUCGUGCCCUGGCACGUGGGCCGCGGCCCAGCUGGGUCGGCUGAAGAACUGCGGAUGGAAGCUGUGGAAGAGGCCCUGAUGGGGCCCACCAUCCCGGACCCGAGUCUUCUUCCUGGAGGGCCUCUCGUCUCCUUCCUGUUUUGGGCGGAAGCCAUCACCUGGAUUCCUACGUGGGAAGGGACCUCGAAUGUGCGACCCCAGCCCCUCUCCAGCUCGAAAUCGGCAGACUAGGAUGGAAGUGCCCUGCGAGCUGGGGGGCCCUUCAAAGGGCCAAGGAGAAAACGCAGGCCGAGGGACCAGCCUUCCAAAUGGGCUUCAAGCUCCAAUGACCUCCGCUCACCCCCUCGAAAUGUCUGGAAAACAUAAUGGGCAGAUUUUCUGUCUUCAAAGUUUCCGGCUAAACCUCUUCAAGUUCUUUAUUGUUUGGGACUGAGACACUCAGCCAUGGUAAUGGGUAGUUUCUUUUGUAUUUGCCUUGAAAGGCCAAAAUAUUUUUAUAUUGCCACAGACAAAGCCACCUAUUUAAAAAUGAACUCCAUGUCCGUCGUUUCCCACCAGGAGACUAUGUACCAUGUGUGUGUCUCUAUGUAUUCUGGGGUCUUGAAACAGGUUUCUCAUGGGGAUGGUCAUUCACCACGGUCCAGAGGGGCAGAACGGGCGGCGCUUGCCUUGCCCAGGGGGCCUGGGGAACGUGGGCCCUCAUCUCAGAUCUGCUCCCAGUAUGUCUAGGACGCGAGCCCCAGAAGGAUCUGGGAGUAAACUUAACAUUCACUGUGUCUCUGCUCUGCAUCCGCCAUUUGUGUGUGUUUCUGGACUGUGGACUGUGUGUACCUUGGUGGGUGACUCAGUGAGAAGAAGCAGGAAUGCCAAAGAUACUGUGAAUGUUCUGGGUUUUGUUGUUGUUGUUGUUGAGAGGUUGUUUCACUGGUGUCUAUUGCAUUAUAUAAUAAAUGACCAGAUGAAUGAAUGAGUGAAGCAAGAAAGAAUGAAUAAACAAAUAAAUAGGUAAAGAAGUAAGCAAGCCAGGAUGAGAGUGUGUGUACACAAGACCAUGGUUCAUCCACUUUGAUGCCUAGACAAUCAAUAUAUAAAUAGAAAAAACCCGGUGAAUCACUAAGUAAUAGGGCAACACACAAAGCGAUAUCAGUUGAUUAUGGAAUAAGGGAUAUGUGUAAUUCAAAUAUAUGCCUCUGACAUUUGACAAUGACAAAGAACCUAAAUGAAAAAAAGAAUGGCUGUGUGAGUAGCGAAGUGCAGAAUGAGACAUAGAUUUUGAGUCAAAAUGAAAAGAUGCAAGUUAAGGAACAAGUGAUCAAAAGGGAGAAGGGAAAGGUUUUUUUAAAAAACCGAAGCAACAAAUAAAAGAAAGGUUAAAAAGAAAAAAAAAAACUAGAGGAUGAGUAACAAGUAACUCUAUAAGGAGGACCAUGUCAGGCUACUGUAAGCCAAGCAUUAGGACUGAUACAAAUAAUAUAUGCUCCUGGCAUAGAAAAAUAAACCACAGAGAACGAGUUCAAAGAAUAGCAAAGAAAGAAAGAGGACCCGGUGGGCGAAAGAUGAGAGUGCACUUUUACCAAAAGUUAUCUAAGCCUGAGCACUUGAAGUCUGCAUAUAAAUAAAUAAAUGACAAAAGAAAGAAAAAAAGGCCAAAAAGUCUACCCUGCGUGUGUGGAUGGAUGAAUGAGCAGUGGGAGUGCAGUGCCAGGUGACAAGAUACUGUGAGGGGUUUUGAGUCAUCCAGUCCUGGGCACUGAGGUCUGUUAGAUGAAAGGAUAUGAGAAAGUUAAUAUUGGUAAAUAAAGAAAUAGGAAAAAAUGUAACAAAUGUUAAGUACAGAAAUACAUUAAUGGGUAGUAAAUAAAGAUGUAAAAGAAGGCAAUGCGAUCGAUGGUGGCAAAAGAUCAUCACAAAUUAAGGGCUAUGGCUGGUCCACUUCUAGAAAACCACAGGCUGUCCAUUAAAUAAUGAACAUCUAAGUGAACAAGCCAGUGAAUAUCUAAAUAGACAAGGAUGAGGUGAAUGAGAAGACGUGGCCCCAUGGGUCCUCCUGAUGAGGGUGUUGGGGCCCCCCUGGGCACCCCAGCUGCAUGAGAAUGAAGGACAGGAGGUAUGGAAAGCUAUGACAGAAGAGAGAAAGGAACGGUAAAAAGAAAUAACAAUCAAACGGAUAAAUGGGUAGAUCCACGAGAAGAGUUAGGCUAGGACUUCUCAUAAGGACACCCGACUCCACUAAUAGAGGAAUAAAUGCCUAAUAAAAAGAGAGCAAGCAGGAAGGAAGGAUGCUAUGAAUGCAGGAAUGAAGGAAUGAGUGAGACAUGGAACCGCACGACCAAGGAUGGGCGUUUGCGGGUGGCUUUAUGAUGCGUACAGCCAAGCCACUCCGUGGCACUGAGCUCCGAAGACAAAGAGUGCAAGAGAGAACGAGUGAGAGAGUGAGAGAGAGAAAUAAUAAAAAAUAGGAAGAAAUGUAAAAUGGAAGAAAGGAAGAGAGGUAAUAUAUUAAGGACUAAAUACAUGCAUGCAGAUUUAAGACAGAGCCGUGCUAGAACAGGAAUGAAAGGCUGUGUGAACCAAGCAGACCGCUUAAUUGGCAUCGGUGCUGCUGGUAUGGUCAAUCACCUACUCAACUAAGGAACGGCUCAAAGUAUACACAUGGAAGGGAGGAGUGGGGCCACAGAGAGAGGGCCCAUUAGUUGCAGAUUAUGAUGUAUCCAGUUAGGUGCACCUGCCAUCGAGAAGUGUAAAAAUAAGUAUUUACAUAGAAAGAAAGACUGAAUGGAUGCAUGGUGAAUGCAUGAAUGAAUGAACGACAGAAAAGAUUUGCAUUGACCGAUGAGGAGGGCAUUGUAGAGAGGGAUGAAGGUCAUUCAUCCUGGGUGCAGAUCUCCAAAAGAAUGACAGAAAGAAAGAGGGAGUGGAGGAAAGAAACAAUAGGAUGGGAAAAAAUGAAAAUAGGAAAAAAGGAAGUGAAAAAGAUAAUACAUAAGUAGAUCAAAUAAGCUGAUGGAAAGGGACUGGUUUAGCACAAGCCAUCCACAUUAAUUCAAAUCUGUGGCUCUGAAGUUUGUUUUAAAAAUGACCACAAGUGUAAGACUGAAAGAAAGAAAAAAUGCACACAUUCCAUAGGAUGCAAGAAAAGGAGUGAGGAAUGGAAAAAUUGGAAGAACAAGAGAGGGAGAGGUGUAAGAAAGGAGAAGAAAAGUGAAGUAGGCGUAUGAAAGAAAAAGCACUUCUUGGACAAGCACUGAAAUAUAAUGAGACAAUUUUAUCCAUUAAAUAUAAUAAACAGUAAACAUUGAGGUUCAUCAAUAAAAGCACAGAUACCUGAAUAGAGGAGUGACUGGCUGAAUGAAUGAGAAUGGAUGAUUUUCACUAUCCUCUGCACUCAAGGCCCAAAAGAAUGAAAAGAGAAAGCAAGAGAGGAGAGAAUAUGGAAACGUAUGACAGGAUGUAUAUAAGCAGUACAAACAUACUGAAUGAAUAAAUAAAGACGUAAAUAUGUGGGAGAGUGGACCAUGCAAGGACAAAAAGAGGAGAGAAGGCAGCAAGAAUUAGGACUAAUUCAAAACUGGGUUCCUGAGAUAGUUAAAUAAAUCCUGCACCAAAUCCCCAGGGGGAGGAAUUAACGAACAAAAGACAGCCCCACAUGGACCAGUGUGCAGAAGGCUCCGGGAACUGCAGAUUAUGGUUAAUCCAAUUCUGGGCACCUGAGGUCCAUAAAUAAAAGAAUAAGUAUUGAAAUGAAAGGAUGACAGAAAGAAUGAAUGGACACAUGAACGACUGAAUUAGAAAUGGAAAUGCCUGGCACAGCCAGGAAGGAACUGCCCAUGGGAUUGUCAUUCAUCUCACUCUGGGCACCUGAGGUCCAUAAGCGUGGAAAGAGGCAAGAAGAGAAGUGUCAGGGAGUCAAAGAUAGAGCUAAGGAAAGGCAAAAAUGAAACUAAAUGAAAGCAAAAGGGAAAAUAAAGAAAAACCAAUAAAAAAGAACGAAUACGUGGGUGUAUCUGUAAGAGUAGGAUCUGUUAGGAUUAGUCAUAAGACUGUGAGUAAUCCUGAAGAUGGAUGAGAUAAUCCAGGCCCAGGUUCCCAGGGGGAGGGAAAAUGGAGAAAAUAUAAAAAGAAGUGAAAAAGGAAAAA
rnacentral:lncRNA from 1 species